GUGCUCGCUUAGGCAGCACAUAUACUAAUGUUGGAAAGAUACAGAGAAGAUUAGCAUGGCUCCUGGACAGGGAGGAUAGGAUAGAAGUGUUGAUAGUGACUAUCUUU